rnacentral:rRNA from 1 species
CCUACGGGAGGCAGCAGUGGGGGAUAUUGCACAAUGGGGGGAACCCUGAUGCAGCGACGCCGCGUGGGUGAAGGAGCAUUUCGGCUUGUAAAGCCCUAUCAGCAGGGAAGAAAAUGACGGUAUCUGACCAAGAAGCCCCGGCUAACUACGUGCCAGCAGCCGCGGUAAUACGUAGGGGGCAAGCGUUAUCCGGAUUGACUGGGUGUAAAGGGGGCGCAGACGGGAAUGCAAGUCAGAAGUGAAAGCCCGGGGCUCAACCCCGGGACUGCUUUUGAAACUGUAUGUCUGGAGUACAGGAGGGGUAGGCGGAAUUCCUGGUGUAGCGGUGAAAUGCGUAGAUAUCAGGAGGAACACCAGUGGCGAAGGCGGCCUGCUGGACUGUGACUGACGUUGAGGCUCGAAGGCGUGGGGAGCAAACAGGAUUAGAUACCCUUGUAGUC